AUGCAGAUUGGUAAGGGGGAGCAGAUCAGCGCCCGAUGCCACUACACUUCUGCUUCUGUGGACGUCGAAAUCUUCAAUCUCAAUGACGAUGCCUUCAUCAAGGCUGGUCCCUCUGAAGAGAGUUACAUUGGCCGUAUUACAGAGUUUUUUCAAGGUAGAGAUGACAGAUCAUACUUCACAUGCCGUUGGUUUUUCCGUGCGGAGGAGACGGUCAUCUCACCGAAGCUGCUUAAGGUCCAUGAUCAUCAACAUAAUGAUAGGCGUGUUUUCCUUUCAGAGGAAAAGAAUGACAACAUGAUUGAGUCAAUAAUUUGUAAACUGAACAUAAUUUAUGUAGCCCCAAAUGAGAUACCACAGGCAAAAGACCGGUUAAUAUCAAAUUCUGAUUACUAUUAUGACAUGUCCUACUCGGUGCCAUGUUCCACAUUUGCCAAUAUGCCAGCAGAAAAUGAUGGUGCAGCAGACAGUGAUACAACUUCAGAUAUAUCUUGUGAAGAGGAGAAACCAGUGGCUGUCCUUGUGACAUACAGUUUGCUCGAUCUAUAUUCAGGGUGUGGGGCUAUGUCAACAGGGCUCUGCCUUGGUGCAGAAUUGGCUGGCAUAAAACUAGAAACUAAAUGGGCUGUGGACAUGAACUCACAUGCUUGUGCGAGCCUAAAGCAUAACCACCCUUCAACACAGGUAAGAAAUGAGAAGGCUGAAGAUUUCCUAUCCCUCCUUCAACAGUGGAAUGCACUCUGUAAGAAAUAUGUCAUCCACGGCAGCAAUUCUUUGGGCUCUGAUCUAGCCCAGGCGUCAAACGAUGAUGAAAAUGAUGAAAACGAACCUCUACCAAAGGAUGUAUUUGAGGUAGAGAGGCUUGUUGAUAUAUGCUAUGGCGAUCCAAAUAAGACUGGAAAAAAUGGCUUAUGGUUUAAGGUUCGGUGGAAAAAAUAUGAUGCUAGUCAAGAUACAUGGGAGCCAAUUGAUGGUCUGAGUGGUUCCUAUGAGUGUAUUAAAGAAUUUGUUCAGAGUGGAUAUAGGGAUUCCAUUCUGCCAUUGCCUGGUUCUGUGGAUGUUAUUUGUGGGGGUCCUCCCUGCCAAGGAGUUAGUGGAUUCAACAGAUUCAGAGAGCACGAUGAUCCGUUGAAGGAUGACAAAAACAAACAGUUGUUUGUCUUUAUGGAUAUUGUUAAAUAUCUGCAGCCUAAAUAUGUUCUCAUGGAGAACGUUGUAGACAUCUUGAAAUUUGCAGAUGGGUUCCUUGGACGCUAUGCAUUGAGCCGUCUUGUUGCUAUGAACUAUCAAGCAAGACUUGGGAUGAUGGUUGCGGGUUGUUAUGGGCUGCCGCAGUUUAGGAUGCGGGCAUUUAUCUGGGGAGCUCUUCCUUCCAUGGUUCUUCCGAAGUUCCCACUUCCCACCCAUGAUGUUAUUAAGCGAGGACUAGUCCCAAAUGCAUUUUCGCGAUGUCUCGUUGCUUAUGAGGAAACAGCAAAUAAACACUUGAAAAAAGCUCUCGUCCUCGAAGAUGCAAUAUCUGAUGUACCCAAGGUUCAGAAUCAUCAGCCUAAUGAUGUCAUGGAGUAUGACAGUGACCCCAAAACAGAGUUCCAACGCUAUAUCCGGCUUAGCAAUAAAGACAUGAAGGAUCACUCAUUUGUAGAUGCUACAACCAAGGAAGGUAAACUGUUUGAUCAUCAGCCACUACAAUUAAAUAAUGAUGAUCUUGAAAGAGUGCGGCAGAUUCCUGUGCAAAAGGGGGCCAACUUUCGUGAUUUGAAGGGUGUCCGAAUUGGGGCCAAGAACACUGUUGAGUUUAAUCCAGAUAUUCCUCGAGCACUCGUGUCUUCUGGGAAACCUUUGGUGCCUGAUUAUGCCAUGUCUUUCAUCAAGGGGAAGUCAUCAAAACCAUUCAGACGCUUGUGGUGGGAUGAAACUGUUCCAACUGUUGUCACAAGAGCCGAGCCUCACAACCAGGCUAUUUUGCAUCCCACCCAGCACCGUGUUCUGACUGUUCGAGAAAACGCAAGGCUCCAAGGCUUUCCAGACUAUUAUAGGCUCUUUGGGCCUGUAAAAGAGAAAUACAUUCAGGUUGGCAAUGCAGUUGCUGUUCCGGUUGCUCGAGCUCUGGGAUACUCCCUUGGACAGGCUCUCCGGGGUGAAUUUGUAGGAGACCAGCCCCUGUUCAAACUGCCUGAGGAUUUCACUUGUAUCGGUCAAGCAAGAGCCACAGGAUCGUCGGUAGGAGUAGUGGAGACAGAGUAG
rnacentral:rRNA from 1 species